AACGAACGCUGGCGGCGCGCCUAAUACAUGCAAGUCGAGCGAGAAGACGUAGCAAUACGUUUGUAAAGCGGCGAACGGGUGAGGAAUACAUGGGUAACCUACCCUCGAGUGGGGAAUAACUAGCCGAAAGGUUAGCUAAUACCGCGUACGCUCCUUGGACUUCGGUUCAGGGAGGAAAGCGAUACCGUGGGUAUCGCGCUCUUGGAUGGGCUCAUGUCCUAUCAGCUUGUUGGGAGGUAACGGCUCACCAAGGCUUCGACGGGUAGCUGGUCUGAGAGGACGAUCAGCCACACUGGCACUGCGACACGGGCCAGACUCCUACGGGAGGCAGCAGUAAGGAAUAUUGCGCAAUGGGCGAAAGCCUGACGCAGCGACGCCGCGUGGGGGAUGAAGGUCUUCGGAUUGUAAACCCCUUUCGGGAGGGAAGAUGGAACGAGCAAUCGUUCGGACGGUACCUCCAGAAGCAGCCACGGCUAACUUCGUGCC
rnacentral:rRNA from 1 species